AGGCGGCGUAAGCUGUCGCUAUGGGAUGGCCCCGCGGUGCAUUAGCUAGUUGGUAAGGUNACGGCUUACCAAGGCGAUGAUGCAUAGCCGAGUUGAGAGACUGAUCGGCCACAUUGGGACUGAGACACGGCCCAAACUCCUACGGGAGGCAGCAGUAGGGAAUCUUCCACAAUGGACGCAAGUCUGAUGGAGCAACGCCGCGUGAGUGAAGAAGGUUUUCGGAUCGUAAAGCUCUGUUGUUGGUGAAGAAGGAUAGAGGUAGUAACUGGCCUUUAUUNGACGGUAA
rnacentral:rRNA from 1 species